rnacentral:miRNA from 1 species
CAUAUACUCCCUCCGUCCGAAA